rnacentral:lncRNA from 1 species
AUGAUCCCAGCAGACAUUUUCACUGUGAAGGUGUUCACCCUCCUGUUGGUUGGAUUAUUAUGUGAUGGACAAAGGCCUGAGGCAACAACACACAGACUGACGGACGAAUCUUCAGCUCAGACGACCUCAGGUUCACCCUCUGGAGGGAAGGUCCAGACAGAGGAGGAUAACCACAGGAUGCUCCUACUCCAACUGCCACUACCCAUCAUCCUCUUCUCCCCUGGUCUGAUGAAGGUGAAGUCAAGGCCUUUCCGUUAGCGGAGGACAUCCUGACUGCAUGGAGCAGAGCAGCAGUAGAGACUCUGAGGUACGACAAACACUACUUGAAUCAUCGUGCUACACAUCUUUCCAACAUGUCUGCUGGCUGACCUCCAGAUGUUCAUGCAUAGAUGUUUUUUGGGAGACUGCUCCUCUUGAUGUAAGUGCUGUCUGUACGUUGCAUAAUCAUAUUCAAACCAAAACAUAUUAUUGCAUGCUUGGAAAGUAGAGCAUGUAAACAGAGGAAAAAAAGUCUGACUUCUGUGUCCAUGCCUCGACGCAGCACUGCUAAUCUGAAAAUGGGAACAACAACCACACGACAUCAAUAUCAACUUGAUUUGAAUAUUCUGUUCGACCGGUGGUGGAGUUAGUUGCUAAAUCUCUAUUUUUUAAAGUAUCACACUGUAUAUGUUUUAUAUGGGGAGGAAUUGGUUAACCUCGUGGAUUCUUUUCUAGAUUUUUAACAUUUUUGCUAAUGUGUUGUAAUUUUUCUUUGAUUUUUGCCUUGUUAAGAAAAUACAGCUCAGAUGAAAGUGUCUGCCUGCAGAAAACACUUUAAAAAGCUAAAGACCAUCUGACCCUGAAAGAGAAACCUUAACGCAGGAGACAGAGAGAAAAGACAGAAAUGCAUUUAUCGCAGACAUUUGACAUUUGAUUUUCUUUACUGUUGAAUGUUUCUGUUUGGGUUUCUGAUCAGAAUGCUGUAAUAUCUGUUAUAUCAAUAACAUCUACCUCAGUGUCUGCUCAUUAAUGACAGAAGCUUUAACCCCUGAAUGACCUUAGCGUCCCUCCAUCAUCACCUGGGUCGAGGUUACGAAUGCCUUUCUGAAAUGAUGCGGUGCAGUUAAAAGAACCCAGACACUAUAAACUGCCAUUGAAUAACUUAGAGAAGUCCUGAAAAACUAAAGAAACCAUCACCACAGUAAAUAUGAAGCCAAUAUUGGCCUUUCAAUGAAAUAUCAGAUGUCAUCCAGCCUGACAAAACAGCUUGAAGCCUGACAUGAUGAUUUUCUUUGCACAUUUUAUUAACUUAUUUGUGAAAUUGUUAAACGUAUGUGUGAGUGAAUGCGACUAUUUCUGAAUUAAUUAUUGAUUUAAAGGGCAAUAAUCUACUGCAGAGAGGUUUCCUGCCAUUCAACAGGUGGCCAGCCUUUCCUAAAGAGCUGCUGUGGCUGAGGUUUUAGUUGAAAUGAGAAGUUUGAUGACGGCUGAGAAAAAUUCAGUCUGGGGGUUGAUGUUUGAGCCUCGUGGAUUAAUUGUCUAAAAAUAGUUGGACUUUUUGGGAAAUUGUCCUUUUACUUGUCUUCGUGAAAAAGUGACGCAUGGACAGUUUCAUCAGUGUCCAGAGCAAAGAUAGGCCCAGGCUGUGUUCAGUCCAGCUCAGCACAAAGACUGGACAUAGUGGGAAACUUCUAGCCUUGGUUCAAUAAAUAUGCAGAAAUAUAUCUCCCAACAACCUAAUAGCUUCUGUAUUUUUGGUGUAAUAAAGUCCAUGUUUCAUUUAACCAAAUAUCCUGUAUCUUAAAGACAAACCAAGCUGGGAAACAGGCUGUAAACUCAGAGUUAGAUCACUCUAACUGUGGACUGGCCUCCUGCCUUUUUACACACACAUGCUUCAGGAGGCUUCCCUGUGCCAACAUGGUGGCCAUGCUCAUCUGUGUGUUUGUGUCUGUGGUUUCCACCUGCUUCAGUCUUCACACUGAGCUGGGCUAAACACCCGUUCAUGUUCUGGACGGACACAGCUGAACGUAUUGUUUUAUCUUUCAUCUGUUUCUUGUUGUCAUCAUAACGUUCUGGCUCUACUCUGUAAAAACACAAAUCCAGCAUCAACAGUUUGGUCUCGUUGUAAUUUUGCUUUGCUGAGACAGAAAAACAGCCGAGGGAGAUUAGUGUUUGACAGAGGCACUGAUGAGCUGUGAUGUUAAGGUGUCCUGCGUACUGUAUGUGCAAUAUUAAUGAUACAGCAUUUUCUUCCUGAAAGACUUGUCAGAUUUUAACCAUCACUUGAUAUUCACCAAAUGUAACAUCCAUCGUUGUGUUGAUGUUCAUCAUGUUCAUCAUGUUCAUCAUGUUCAUCAUGUUCAUCCUGCGGUUCAGUCCAGGCUUGGGUUUUCAUGCAAAAAUGGAAAAAGCAAUAGUGUGUGUGAGCUCCGUGCUCGGGGAACUUCAGAAAGCAUUUCUUUUCUUCUUUCUGUUUUUUAUUUACAGUUAUUACUGUUUAUGCCAUGUUUAUUUUGACAUUCUCCAAAUUUGAUCUAUUUUUGAUAAAAUAAAUCAUUUGAUGAUGAUUGAUGAGCUUCAAUCUGCAUGUGUUUCAGAUGACUGCACAUGCAGACGUGUCAUUUUCUGUUUCGUGUGUGAUUUUAUGUCAUAAACAUUUCCACAUGAUGGAUUUCAGUGGGUAUGAAUGUGUUUUUAUUUGUUUUAGCUUUGUCCUUCAGCAGAGAGGAGAGUCAGGAACCAGGACAGUGAAAUUAUGACCCAGUCCCAGUUAAUAUCAACAAACUCCAUGAAGGGACCAUCAGGCUGCUGAUGACCUGAAAAUCAGUGUUUGAGAACCAGAAGCCUCAUCAGCAGGUAGCGCUGAUGUGGGUUAGUGGGGCCCUGCUCCACCCCCCGGUCGGCUCAUUAGGCCCUUAUAGGUUUAGGCACAAAGAACUGGUGGUUUGGUUUCAGGAAAGAUGAUGGUUUUGGUUCAAAUGAGGACUUACCAAGGUGAAAACGUUUGUUUGAGACGUGACACUAAUGGCUCCUCCUCCUCCUGUCUGAAACUCUGGGGUUUUGUCGCCUCCUCCCUAAAACAUGGACGAUGUGGAAAUCUGUGUGUCAACAAACUGGAAGCUGUAAAAGUCAUUGGUACGAGCGCUCAGUGAAAAUCCAUUCAGACUGACACCUCAUGGGAAUGAUCUUUGUAAGGUAAUAUCUUCACAUUAUAAUCUUCAUACCCACUAACUGAAAGUUAGUGCACAGUGUCAGAAAACCUGUGAGAAUGAAUAACGUCCUGUGUGCUGCACAUAACAGCCACUCAGAGCAGAAACCCCCAGUUUGAAAAGUCAGAAUGAUCCAAAACAAACCCUGAAAAUAAUCCAUCUCAUUUUCAGGAAGUUCUACAGAUGCAAGAGAGAAAUUUCAGCUUCAUUACUUCAAUGUGCAUCAUGUUUUGUGAAUUUAUUUUGACCCUCAGUUCUGAAACCAAAUUUGUAUUCUGCACCUCAGAAGUCUGAUUAUACCUUAUUAUAUAUAUUAUUACCAUCAUUCCUAGGCAGCACCACACAUUCAUCAAUGAGCAAUAAAAAAUACAGCAUCGUCAGUUCAUCUGUGUGUUAACAGUGCCUUAAUGACAUUUCCUUUUAGUUACUAUCCCUGUCAAAUGCACCUGAAGUACAACAGAAGAAGAAGCUGUGUAUUUGUAUUAACACAGGGAUGCACGUAGAAAUGAUGUAUUGUAAAUUAAUGUAUUGAAUGUACAGUGAGUGUGUUUAGAGUGAGAAGAACUAAGAAAAAGUAAAAAGGUUUGUUCUGUUCUCCACAGAAGCUCAGAGCUGCUCCUGAGAAUUAUUCUCUCGUCUAUAAAUAAUUUGAUCGACACAUGAAAGUGAAAUCAAAGAAAAUAAAAAAAGCAAAUUGAACGUAAAUUUGAACUGAGUGGAACUAAAAUAACAAGAUUUAGUUUUAAUAAAGCUUUCUCAUUAUUGUGGAACACACUGAUCCUGCUGUUCUAGUGGUGAUUGAAAAGAUAAAGUGCAGUCAAAAUGAUGCAUCUUUUGUAAACUCACUUUGAAAAUGAACACGCUGUUGGGUCUGUCUGACUGCAGCUGACGUUUGAAAUGGAUUUCCUGGGCUGGUGUGAAAUAUUGAUGUGUUUUCAAUCAUUUCUGUGGUUUGAAUGUCAGUGAUCAAAAAUACAUUUGACAGAAAAAACAGUUUGGACUUUAGGUUAAACUCUUUAAACUAUACUGUCAGAGUGGAACAAGACUGAGACUGCAAAAAAGACAAAAUAAUAUCACAGCCCUUAGUGCGUGUUAGUGUCCACGUGUUAGCGGUCGGUCCUGUGCUCAUUCACCGAACUGUGUUUGUCUCAUGGUGUUUUCCUGCUUCGGCAAACGGCAGAUACAAAAAAACUCUGUCUGCAAAACCUCAGCGUGUGUCUCUGUGUAGAAAGUCUCAAAUAAUAGAGUUUAUUUUGUUAACUUGGAGUGUCUGUGCUUCACUGUGUGACAGGUAGAAACCUAAAGAAAAGUCUGAGGAUGUAUAUAUGUGUGGUUUGGGAUCAUACACUGAAUAUGCACAAAAGAGUCAUCCUGAAAACUAGUUGUGACUAAGUUUAAUGUGGCCUUUUCUUUCUCUUUAAUGUACUGCAAUGUUGUAAAUGAUUUGUAUAUGACAUCAUGUAUAUUAAAG